rnacentral:misc_RNA from 1 species
GAUGAAGAACGUAGCGAAAUGCGAUAAGUAAUGUGAAUUGCAGAAUUCAGUGAAUCAUCGAAUCUUUGAACGCACAUUGCGCCCGCCAGUAUUCUGGCGGGCAUGCCUGUUCGAGCGUCAUUUCAACCAUCAAGCCCCAGGCUUGUGUUGGAGCCCUGCGGCUGCCGCAGCCUCCCAAAACCAGUGGCGGGCUCGCUAUCACACCGAGUGCAGUAGUUUACUCUUCGCUCAGGGCGUGUGGCGGGUGCUAGCCGUAAAACCCCCAACUUCUCAAGGUUGACCUCGGAUCAGGUAGGAAUACCCGCUGAACUUAAGAAUAUCAAUCAGCGGAGGA